GACGAACGCUGGCGGUGUGCUUCACACAUGCAAGUCGAACGGGGUAGCAAUACCCAGUGGCGGACGGGUGAGUAACACGUGGGAAUCUGCCUUUAAGUGGGGGAUAACUGACCGAAAGGUUAGCUAAUACCGCAUAUGCCGCAAGGUAAAAGGAGCAAUUCGCUUGAAGAUGAGCCCGCGUCCGAUUAGCUAGUUGGUAGGGUAAAAGCCUACCAAGGCUGUGAUCGGUAGCUGGUCUGAGAGGACGAUCAGCCACAAUGGAACUGAGACACGGUCC
rnacentral:rRNA from 1 species